GCAGAGAUGAUACCUCGUACCUUUUGCAUCAUGAAUUAAUAAGCACAUGUUGAGCACAACGUCUUUUAGCCCAAUACCCCGAAAUUAAGUGAGCUACCCCAAGACAGCCUAUUGAUAAGGGCUAACCCGUCCCUGUUGCAAAAGGGUGGGAAGAGCUUUGGGUAGAGGUGAAAAGCCUACCGAACUUAAUAAUAGCUGGUUACCAGAUAAUUGAACUUUAGUUUAGCCCCCGGGGUUCUUCCCAAACCCGGGAGGUCAUUCAAAGAGGGUUCAGCCUCUUUGAAGCAGGGAACAACCUUUUUCGGCGGAUAAAGAUUAUAUUUUAUAAUAAGGGAAAGCGUACCCCGGUAGGACCAGAAGCACCCACCCAGCAAGAAAGCGUUAUAGCUCAAACACACUAUCCCAAUAAACCUAUCUGACUCCCCUAGCACCAGCUGGUCGUCCGACUUUCGAUUCGGAGCGAUAAUGUUAACAUGAGUAAUAAGGGACGAGUUUCUCCGCGCACAGGUAUAGAUCGAAAUGGACAAGCCAUCGAAUAUUAACGACCUCAUUAAAAGAGAGAGAACUAGCCAACAACGAGAAAACCCGCCACCGUUAACCCCACACCGGAGUGCAAACGCGGACCGGCUUAAAGAAAGAGAAGGAACUCGGCAAACAAGCCCCGCCUGUUUACCAAAAACACCGCCUCUUGCACGUAUAAGAGGUCGCGCCUGCCCAGUGACAUCUUGUUAAACGGCCGCAGUAUUUUGACUGUGCUAAGGUAGCGUAAUCACUUGUCUUUUAAAUGAAGACCCGUAUGAAAGGUAUGACGAGGGCUUAACUGUCUCCUCUUUCCAGCCAAUGAAAUUGAUUUCCCCGUGCAGAAGCGGGGAUAAAGACAUAAGACGAGAAGACCCUAUGGAGCUUUAGGCAACAGUGCAGACCAUGUCAAAGUGCUCACCAAGCUAUAAACAAGUGGCCCCUGCCAAGUGCCUUGGGUUGGGGCGACCCUGGGGAAAGCAAAACCCCCACGCGGAAUGGGAGCACUCCUCCAAAACCAGAGCCACCUCUCGAACAAUCGGAACUUCCGACCAAUCUGAUCCGGACACCCGAUCAACGGACUAAGUUACCCUAGGGAUAACAGCGCAAUCCCCUUCAAGAGCCCUUAUCGCCAAGGGGGUUUACGACCUCGAUGUUGGAUCAGGACAUCCUAAUGGUGCAG
rnacentral:rRNA from 1 species